GAGGGUAUACCUCAGUGGUAGAGCACGUGCUUAGCAUGCACGGAGUCCUAGGUUCAAUCCCUAGUACCUCCA
rnacentral:tRNA from 1 species